CCUCCCCCAGCCCACGCGGCAGAUCAGGCUGCAAACGUGUUCGUGCUGCCAAAAACGCCCCAGCCCGGCUUCCUCUCCCUGACCCUCCACCCCCAGCAGCUCUCAGGGGAGAGGCGGCUCGGAGCGGGAAAGGUAGCCGGUGGAGUUGGUUACCCUUCAGAUCUCAGGCCCAAGCCACGGAGACUGUCAUGUUCCCAUAUGAAAUAUUUCACGUUUCCAACUCCAGCACCACACCAGGAAGCACCGUCCCACACAGCGUCUGCUGGAACACACUUUGAUGUCAGAGGGCGUUUGCCAUUGACUUCAGCGUGGCCAGAGAGAUGAACUGACUCCCUCACGGUGAUGCAGCACGUCCGUGGCAGAGGAGGGUGGCAGCUUCAGGAGUUCCAAGGCUCUCGGCUCUGAGUUCUAAACCUGAAGACGAAGCUGCCCCUGCAUUAUAUGGAAACAGUCACACGUAUACUUAAACUGGGAUGAGCCCUGGUGAUUAUUAGCUGCAUUACAGCAGUGCUGAGAGGCCCCAUCGUGCUGGGGCCUGUACAAACAGAGUGAGAUAGUCCCUGCCCCCAAAAGCUGACUACACGAUAGUGGCUGGGGAAACAGAGGCACAGAGGUGAAGUAGAACCCAGGGCUUUUGAGUCCUGGUCCCGUGCCUUAGCCACUAGACUGCAGUACCUUAAAGGGCACUCGGUAAGUUGUAAAAUUAAAAAAAAAAACAAAGCUGCUCUGUUCUGACCAAGCAGCCUCCUCCCCAGUCUGAAGCACUGGCUUUGAUGGAACUGCACCAGGGACUGAUCUGGUCCGAGCAGUAACCUGUGAGUACUGAAACAUGACUGUGGAUUUAUUUGUUGUACAGGAGCGCCCACCCCAAGCUCUCGGGGUCCCAGCAGACUGUUACAAAAGGCUGCAAUUCCCAUAUUAACAGACUCAGGCAGUUACCCUCUGCACAUUGCUGACAGGGUAGAGGUAUCUUUGGGUAACCCCCCACCGCAGCACCAGCCCCAUAGCCCCUCAAUCUGCCCAGCCCCCAAUUCCCCAUCAGCCUAGGAGAAGCAAUGGGCCUUGCAGUGCAUCAUGAAGGGACUCCGGCUGGUCCAGCCCCUGGGUUGGGGGACCCUGCCAGCAGCCCCUCUCUUGUAUACCACUGGAAUCUGGGUCAGGCCCUCAGCUCCCUACAGCUCACUAGGGACUACAAACUCUCUGGCAAUCCGCUCCUCCUUUCCUUGCUUGCGCUGCAGAGAACCUCCCGGAGAAAGCACUUGGUCUCAACCUUUUCAAAAGGGCCUAGGGGAGUUAGGUGCUCAAAUCCAGUUGCGAGCCAAUGGCAGCCUGGCGCUUCAUGCCCAUGGGCCACUUUGAAAAUCCCAUCUUUGAGUCCACUGUGGUGAUGUCUGCCAUUACUGGGUGAAGUUGAACCCAGAGCAGAGGCCUGGCAAGUAACUAAAGGAGAAACUGAAUUUCAGACCCAUCUACCUGACACCUACACUCACCCUCAUUCUCUUUGGGGUUUCUUUCUGAAAGUCACCUCCACUUCUCGGAAAGAAAGGAAAUUGUGUGAGAACUUGUGUGCCGACACCCUUGGAACACUGCGCCAGGAGCUUUGAUGUUAUGUGUGUAAUGCCAGGCCUGCCACGUCUUCCCUCAUUGGUAUGGAAACUUCCUUAGUUGGGACUAAUUUUAAGGCAGCUUUUAAAUCUUCCCAGCUCGUGAUGUGUUUCAAUGAGACCUUUAAAAGCGCCCUCAUAAAUCUGGGAAAUCACCCUCAUUCAGACAGGCCCUGCCUGACAGCCCUGUGAUGGUGUUUAUUUUAGAAAACAUUCCUCUGAGCAGAGGAACAGAAAACAGUGACUGGUGUACAGGCAGGAAGAGGGGAAAAGGGCCUGUGAAGAUGGAGCAGAUGAGAAGAUGCUACCAAUGCGUUCUCCUGCAUAGGUGGAGGUGCGCAAAAGAUUUGUAUUGAAACUUCCAGAUUCCAGGCUUUGGUUUGUAUCAGAAACAGGCCCACUUGCAACCAAAUUUUCACUGAAGUCCAGGAGCUUUUAAAGGGGAAAAUGGGCCUGUUUUCCAGUGGAAACAAGCUAGUUUCUGAGCAAAACCAGCCUUCCCUGGUGAGGGAAUGUAAGGCCAUGUUUCAGGGGCAGACAGCUUUCGACCCUAAAAAAGGCUACUGGAUGUUUUAGAGUCAUCUUCUUGCUAUUUAUAUUAACAGCUAAGAUGCCAUCCACACACCUAGUGAGAGAUGGUCUCUGCCCCAAAGAACUUAGCCUGACUGGACUUUUACAGAUGGGGAAACUGAGGCACAGACCGAUUAAAUGACUUGGCC